rnacentral:rRNA from 1 species
GAGUUGCGUAGGCGGUUAGUAAAGCGAAUAGUGAAACCUGGUGGCUCAACCAUUCAGACUAUUAUUCGAACUCACUAACUCGAGAAUGGUAGAGGUAAUUGGAAUUUCUUGUGUAGGAGUGAAAUCCGUAGAUAUAAGAAGGAACACCAAUGGCGUAGGCAGAUUACUGGACCAUUUCUGACGCUAAGGCACGAAAGCGUGGGGAGCGAACCGGAUUAGAUACCCGGGUAGUCCACGCCGUAAACGAUGGAUACUAGCUGUUGGAGGUAUCGACCCCUUCAGUAGCGAAGCUAACGCGUUAAGUAUCCCGCCUGUGGAGUACGGUCGCAAGACUAAAACAUAAAGGAAUUGACGGGGACCCGCACAAGCGGUGGAUCAUGUUCUUUAAUUCGAUGAUAAACGAAGAACCUUACCAGGGUCUGACAUCCCGAGAACUAACCCGAAAGGGUUGAGUGCUUUAUUGAACUCGGUGACAGAUGUUGCAUGGCCGUCGUCAGCUCGUGUCGUGAGAUGUUUGGUUAAGUCCAUCAACGAGCGCAACCCUUGUGAAUAGUUGUAUUUUUCUAUUCAGACUGCCCCGGUAACGGGGAGGAAGGAGGGGAUGAUGUCAGGUCAGUAUUACUCUUACAUCCUGGGCUAGAAACGUGAUACAAUGGCAAGUACAAUGCGCAGCGAAGCCGCGAGGUGAAGCAAAUCGCAUCAAAGCUUGUCCCAGUUCGGAUAAGAGGCUGAAACUCGCCUCUUGAAGUCGGAAUCG